UUACUACAAGUCACCAUCCCCUGCAAAGUACUACAAAUCUCCAUCGCCUACAAAAUACUACAAAUCGCCAUCACCUGCAAAAUACUACAAGUCGCCUGCUCCAUCAAAGCACUAUUACUACAAGUCACCAUCCCCAUCGAAGUACUACAAAUCUCUGUCCCCUGCAAAAUACUACAAGUGGCCUGCUCCAUCAAAGCACUAUUACUACAAGUCACCAUCCCCAUCAAAGUACUACAAAUCUCCAUCGCCUGCAAAAUACUACAAGUCGCCUGCUCCAUCAAAGCACUAUUACUACAAGUCACCAUCCCCAUC
rnacentral:lncRNA from 1 species